GUGUAAGUAUGAACUAAUUUAGAUUGUGAAACUACGAAUGGCUCAUUAAAUCAGUUAUAGUUUGUUUGAUGGUUUCCGCUAAUCGGAUAGCCGUAGUAAUUCUAGAGCUAAUACGUGCAACAAACCCUGACUUCUAGAACAGAUGCAUUUAUUAGAUAGAAGGUCAACACGGGCUCUGCCUAUUGCUUCGAUGAUUCAUGAUAACUCGACGGAUCGUACGACCAUCGUGCCGUUGACGCAUCAUUAAAAUUUCUACCCUAUGAACUUUCGAUGGUAGGAUAGUGACUUACCUUGGUUGUGAUGGGUGAUGGAG
rnacentral:ncRNA from 1 species